ACCAUUGUCGUCUUAGUGGUUUAGGAUACCAGGUUUUCAUCAUUUCAAUAUGAAAUCCCUGGGGACCAGAGUUCGAACCUCUGCAAUGGUG